UUAUAUUUAUUUUUGAAUUUAUUUGGUGGAUUAUUGGUUUAUUUUCAAAAUUAUCUUUCUUCAUGGUAUGUGGAUCAAUAGAGCAAAUAUCCGGUCUUGGAUUAUCUUCUCGGAUUGUAACGACAAUAUUGCUAGUAGGAUUUAUUCUGAUGAUUAUAUUUCCCUUUGAAUCAUCAUCAAAUAUUCAGUGGUCCAACCACAUGUAUAAUGACUUUGACAUUUAUGAGUUAUUAGAGCAACAAAUGACUCAUGACAUGCCAAUUUUAGGAAGUCAAUUUUCAAUAUCAAUUGGUAAUAAAAAUAAUGAAAUAACAAGUGAUUCUGGAAGGAUUACAUUUAGGAUUGUGCAGAAUGCCAGUCGAUCAUCAGAUGGAAUAAUUAGGCCAAGUAAUAACAGAGUUGGUAUUUGUAUAUUAACUCAUUGCAUGACUAUAAAUAUCCUGAACAAAUAUUUUUAAUACUAUCAAAUCGAAAAAAGUAAAUAAAAAAAAUAAUCAAUAUUUAAUAUUUGGAAAAGUAAAUUUAAAAAUAUCACAAAGCUUUGAUGUAAAAAGUAUUAUAGAAUUAAAAUUAUCUAUAAAAAUAAAAAUAAAUAUUAACAUUUUUCUUGUUACAAUAUCACAAAGCUUUGAUGUAAAAAAUAUUAUAGAAUUAAAAUUAUCUACUAGCUGGGGAAAAUAUAAAUUAAGUUACAAAUUUUUCAAAUAAAUGUAAUAAUUAUUUUAUUCAUAAAAUAUUUUUCAGUCUAGUAUAUUACAAAAAAUAAAAAGGAAAUUUAAUUAAAAAUUAUCAAAGAUAUAAGUUAAUUUAAAAAGAUAGGGAUACAAUUUUUAAAAUGUAAAUUUAUAUUGAGAAAUUAGUUUUAAAUUUAUUCGGGAUAUAUGAUGCCUUCAGGAUAUUUUUUUAACAUGAUUUUUUAGUCAUGGUGAAUGAAAAUCAAUCACUCGAGUUAUUUGCAAAUAUCAAUUUCAAAAUAAAAAAUAUUUCAUGUCAUAAAAAAGCCAUCAUAACAUGUAAUAAAUGAAGUUAAUUAUUCAAAGCUUUUGUUGGAUCAACUGCUGAGCAUGGAUGAAGUUGAUAAACAACAAAUUCCAAAUAUAAAAUCAGAAAAAUACUUGAGUAAUUUGAAUGCCAUAAAAGCCAUUGACAAAUAUGAUUCGAGUGACAGUGACCGAGCAAGGCAAUCAUACGUAAGUUCAAAUUCAACCAAACUAAAUUUCAACUCUCCAAACUCAAUUGACGAAUCGAGUGACAUGAAAUUUGAAGAUUCUGAUGAUGCUAUAAAUUUUCCAGAAUCUACUAAACAAGCACAAAAAAUUGAACAAAUUGAAAUAAUGAUGUCGGUAAUAAAUCUUGAUACGACAUCCAACAACACAGUGGAUCAUAUGUCUAAUGAUAAACGUGAUACGGAAUCUGAGGAAAUUGAAUUACGCGUGUCAACAUUAACCACGGAGAAUGGAGAAUUUGAGUAAAUAAUUUGAGUAAAUAUUUUCAGCAUCAGGUAAUUUUAAAUAAACAAAAUUACCUACAAUUAAUUUUUAAAAUGCAAGAAAAAUAUUUUAAUAUUUAUUUAAAAUUACACAGCUAAAAAAAAUAAUUUUUUCUAUUGUAAAUUAAAUAAUAUAAAAUAAUUAUUAAAUUAUCUCAUUAAAAUAUGAAAAAUUUUGAUCUUGUUAAAUUUCAUAAUUUUGAUAUUCUUUGAUUGCUUUAUUAAAUUUUUAUCAUGAUAAAAAUAAAAGCAUUUUAUUUUACAAAAAAGUUAUCAUAAUUAACGAGACGAGAAUUUUGUAAUAAUAUUGAAUUAAAUAAAUUUUAAAUGAACAAAUUA
rnacentral:lncRNA from 1 species